UACGUAGGGUCCGAGCGUUGUCCGGAAUUAUUGGGCGUAAAGGGCUCGUAGGCGGUUUGUCACGUCGGGAGUGAAAACUCAGGGCUCAACCCUGAGCGUGCUUCCGAUACGGGCAGACUAGAGGUAUGCAGGGGGAGAACGGAAUUCCUGGUGUAGCGGUGGAAUGCGCAGAUAUCAGGAGGAACACCGGUGGCGAAGGCGGUUCUCUGGGCAUUACCUGACGCUGAGGAGCGAAAGUAUGGGGAGCGAACAGG
rnacentral:rRNA from 1 species